UAGCCCAGGCCAUGGACGAAGUACACCCGAACCCCUGGAAAUUUUUUAUUUUCGCUUCGCGUUCGGGCUCCUCUUUAAACCGUGUGUUUCAUUUUAAUUUUGCCCUUAAA
rnacentral:rRNA from 1 species